rnacentral:rRNA from 1 species
GACGAACGCUGGCGGCGUGCUUAACACAUGCAAGUCGAACGGAAAGGCCCUGCUUUUGUGGGGUGCUCGAGUGGCGAACGGGUGAGUAACACGUGAGUAACCUGCCCUUGACUUUGGGAUAACUUCAGGAAACUGGGGCUAAUACCGGAUAGGAGCUCCUGCUGCAUGGCGGGGGUUGGAAAGUUUCGGCGGUUGGGGAUGGACUCGCGGCUUAUCAGCUUGUUGGUGGGGUAGUGGCUUGCCAAGGCUUUGACGGGUAGCCGGCCUGAGAGGGUGACCGGCCACAUUGGGACUGAGAUACGGCCCAGACUCCUACGGGAGGCAGCAGUGGGGAAUAUUGCACAAUGGGCGGAAGCCUGAUGCAGCAACGCCGCGUGCGGGAUGACGGCCUUCGGGUUGUAAACCGCUUUCGCCUGUGACGAAGCGUGAGUGACGGUAAUGGGUAAAGAAGCACCGGCUAACUACGUG